GUCUUUAUAAUUCAGUUGGUUAAAGCUUCAUACUAAUAAUGCGAAGGUCGUGGGUUCUAUCCCCUGUGGGGUAUA